rnacentral:rRNA from 1 species
AACGGCGAGUGAAGCGGCAAGAGCUCAAAUUUGAAAUCUGGCCUCCCCCGGGGGCCCGAGUUGUAAUUUGCAGAGGAUGCUUCGGGUGCGGCCGCCGUCUAAGUUCCUUGGAACAGGACGUCAGAGAGGGUGAGAAUCCCGUCUUGGGCGGGCGGUCCGCGCCCGUGUGAAGCUCCUUCGACGAGUCGAGUUGUUUGGGAAUGCAGCUCUAAGCGGGUGGUAAAUUUCAUCUAAAGCUAAAUAUUGGCCGGAGACCGAUAGCGCACAAGUAGAGUGAUCGAAAGGUUAAAAGCACCUUGAAAAGGGAGUUAAACAGCACGUGAAAUUGUUGAAAGGGAAGCGCUUGCGGCCAGACUCGGGGGCGGGGUUCAGCGGGUGCUCGUCGCCCGUGUAUUCCUCGUCUCCCGGGCCAGCAUCAGUUUCGACGGCCGGUCAAAGGCCCCCGGAAUGUGUCGUCUCUCGGGACGUCUUAUAGCCGGGGGUGCAAUGCGGCCCGUCGGGACUGAGGAACGCGCUCCGGCUCGGAUGCUGGCGUAAUGGCCGUAAGCGGCCCGUCUUGAAACACGGACCAAGGAGUCUAACAUCCACGCGAGUGUUCGGGUGUCAAACCCGUGCGCGCAGUGAAAGCGAACGGAGGUGGGAGCCUUAGGGCGCACCAUCGACCGAUCCUGAAGUCUUCGGAUGGAUUUGAGUAGGAGCGUGGCCGUUGGGACCCGAAAGAUGGUGAACUAUGCCUGAAUAGGGUGAAGCCAGAGGAAACUCUGGUGGAGGCUCGCAGCGGUUCUGACGUKCAAAUCGAUCGUCAAACCU